rnacentral:rRNA from 1 species
UACGUAGGGUGCAAGCGUUGUCCGGAAUUAUUGGGCGUAAAGAGCGUGUAGGCGGCCUCGUUAGUCCGCUGUGAAAGUCCAGGGCUCAACCCUGGAAUGCCGGUGGAUACUGCGAGGCUAGAGUCCGGAAGGGGCGAGUGGAAUUCCUGGUGUAGCGGUGAAAUGCGCAGAUAUCAGGAGGAACACCAAUGGCGAAGGCAGCUCGCUGGGACGUGACUGACGCUGAGACGCGAAAGCGUGGGGAGCAAACAGG